AGUCCCUGGGGCUCUCCGCUUGGGGGCCCGCGGGACAGGAGGUGCACACGCGACAGGAGGUGCGCGGGCGGGGAGGCUCACCCAAGAGAGGAGGCGGGCACCCGAGAGGAGGCGCGCGUGAGUGGAGGCUCACCCAAGAGAGGAGGCACGCACCCGAGAGGAGGCGCGCGUGAGUGGAGGCUCACCCAAGAGAGGAGGCGGGCACCCGAGAGGAGGCGCGCGUGAGUGGAGGCUCACCCAAGAGAGGAGGCACGCACCCGAGAGGAGGCGCGCGUGAGUGGAGGCUCACCCAAGAGAGGAGGCACGCACCCGAGAGGAGGCGCGCGUGAGUGGAGGCUCACCCAAGAGAGGAGGCACGCACCUGAGAAGAGGCGCGCCGGCGGGGAGGCUCAUCAGAGAGGAGGCGCGCACCCGAGAGGAGGAGCGCGGGAGGGGAAGCUCACCCAAGGAGGCGGGCACCUGAAAGGAGGCGCGCGUGAGGUGAAGCUCACCAAGAGAGGAGGCGGGCACCCGAGAGGAGGCGCGCGUGAGGAGAGGCUCACCCAAGAGAGGCGCGCACCCGAGAGGAGGAGCGCGGGAGGGAAUUCAAUAUGGAAAACACCUGUGCAUGUCGCUGUGCAUUAAGCUGUUAAGUCAGCUAAUACUCAAAUCUGGUCAGCAAUGCUCUAUACGCUGUGGGUACAGAAAAGGCAGACGCCUCUGCCCUUGUGCGGCUUCUAGAGGGGAAGCUCCACGCUAAAGCACAGGCACAGGCCACCAGAGAGGAGGAAACUUGGAGCUUUCAAAAACAUAAAGAAAAAUUCCGAGGGGAUCUCACUGGCUGUAGUCGAACAGGCAAGUCCUGGUGGGCGGCAAUAUAUGCGAAAUAAAAAGCAAUAUAUACAGAUAAAAUAACAGACGGCAGCUAUUGCCGUUAAACUUCCAUUCUACUUGGAAGGAAAUCUGUAAUGCAUUCCGUGACCCGAAUUUGCGGGGUCUCAGAGUUUCAAGGUGUGUCUCGUGAACUGCACGAGCAUUUUUUUGUCCCCAUGCAUCCUACCUGGCAGUAGAGGCCGGUCACACCCCCCCCAUAAGACCAGUGGGCCACCUCCAUAAUUUCUGUUGCACUAUUAAAGCAACACCAAUUUACAUUAUCCGCCUAUUAAUGUAGCAAAAUUAAAAGACACCAAAAGAAAAAAAAACCAUAAAGUCCUCAAAGUUAUGUUAUAUAGAAUUUAAUGCACGGAAAGGUCAGUAAGCACCCACGGGCCUUGAACCCCAGCGCAGAGAUAGACAGAUAGAAAGUCCGGUAUGAGGAGAUACCGCUUGAGCUAACUCCGACCGGUAUAGGGGUGUGCAGUUGAAACUUCUAAACCAUAGAAGAGUGACAGCGUGGAGAGGGAAGGGCUGCAUGUGUUCCCCACCCCCGAGAGGCCUGCGUCACGUGGUCCCGCCAGCUCUGCGCCAGGCGUCCUGCUAGCGUGACCUGGAGAUCCUCCCAGUUCCUCCCGCCCCGAUCCAGCGCAGGAACUGUGGAAGAGGGCAAAAUACAAUCCUGGAGGGGAAGCAGGAGGGCACGGGGAAGCACAUUGCGGGCUGCCUACCUAGGUCUGGCAGCCAGGCUGCUGAGGAGUACCCCCGCAAAGGCUUUUUGGGGUUCCCUCCAGCAGACCAGGGCAGUCUAAGUCCUCCAUAAAAUCACCCCCAAGCAGCCUGUGAACUUGCCAAAGGCAGGGGUUCUGUGGUUUCAUUUUUCUGCCAUGUCCUGAGCUGGGCCCUGGAGAACAGAGUUCAUGAUCAGCAAAUCCUCUGUUGAUGGGAGGUGAAUGAAUUAAUGAGUGAUGAUCAGGGCACCAGGGCCCAGGAAUAAGCCCUUCUAGAAUAGAGACCACAGGCUGAAGACUUAAAAGCUUCGUAGCUCUAGAGAAACGCUCUGAUGAGGCCGAAGGAGAAUGAAUCGUACCUCUUUUUUCCGUAACCCACCCCCUUGUCUACACUACUUUUAUUUUGAAAGAAUCAGGAGCUGGAUGGAGGCAAUUGCUAACAAAGAAAAUGGGGCCUUCAGGAUCUUAAUAAUAAUGUCCCUGCUUGUUGAGCACGCGCGCGCACGCACACACACACACACACCCCGUGUGCCACGCUCUGGGUUAAACAUUUAUCUCAUUUCAUGACCAGAGCAACUCUGUGAGAUCUAUAAUGUUGCCAUUUUGAAAAUGAAUAAACUGAGUGUCACUGGUUGUAAGUAACUGAAAUGUUAGGAAUUACAAAGUGACACAUUUAUUCAAGAACAGAACCAAAGUCUGAAUUCUCAAGAAGGAGAAAUAGUUGCAUGUAGUGUCUGUCUAUCUGCCUGUCUUGCUUAAAGGUAUCUCAAGCAACUGGUAAGCUGCACUAGACAGGGUCUUUCAUUCUGUUCUUUGCUGUCUCCCUAUAUCCUCUCCAGUUCCUAGCCUGGUCCACAGUAACCCUCAAUAUACAUUCGAGUGAGUGACUCCAGAGAGUAGGACCCCCUUUACUAGAAACUGUGCUGCCCCAACCUGGGUUUGAAUCUGGCUCCCCCUCUUCCUAGCUGUGUAGCUUUAAGCUUUUUAAUAAUUGUUCCUCGUAUUCAUUUUGUAUUAAACAAAAAACACUAGUAGAGUAAAAAUUAAGACAGUAAAGGCAGUGAAAGCCAGCUACCUUUGACCUAACUGCAGCUUCCAAUCCAGAUCCCUCCCCAAAGGUAACCACUGUUUUUUUUAAUUUUGCUGUGUCUCCUUCUAGUCCUCUUCCUAUUAUACAAAGAUAAUUAAAAAUAUAUAGCUAUUUAGGUUAUGGCUGUGUUUUGAUAUGAAGGAGUACCCUGCACACAUCGUUCUGCCCUUGCUUUGUGGGAAAUUCCACAGCAUGCCUGGGAGGUCUCAUUAUUUAUUAUGGCUCCCCAAGAGUACAUGAAGCAUGAUUUGUUUUGCCAUCCCCUGUUGGGACUAGACAUUGAAGUUUUGUUUUGUUUUUGUUUUUCCCGUGAGUUUACCAAUAGCUCUCCAAUGAACACCUUUGCACAAGCCUUUUUGUGAACAUGGGCAAUUUCAUGAAUGUGAGGAUAAAUUCCCAGAAGUGGAAUUGCUGGGCUGAAUAGCAUAUACAUUAAUUGUAAUUGCCAAGUUGUCAUCCAAAAAUGGGGUUAUUGAUAGCAUAUCCUGAUGGUGGGAGGCAUGGGAAGUUAUGUUGAAAUAACACAUCUUAUUCAGGCCAGGUACCUAGUAGUCUUGGUAAACAAUUACAAAAAUAACUGCCAAUGAUCAUUUCCCUGCUAGCCAUUUCCAGCCCCCAACGUGAUCCAGCCUGGGCUUCACUGCCUGGAGCCUGGGUUUAGGAAUGAAAACUGUCCCGCAGGAAGGACCCAGCGGGUGCGUUCCAGGUGCUCCCCCUGGUGGGGAAAUGUCCCUGGACAGUAAGGAAAUCCCCCAUCUUUGUAAACUCUAUAUCAAAUCACAUCCCUCCCAGCUCAGAACCUUGAAAGACCUCCUCUCAUUUUUAUAAUACAGUCCGGACAGGGUUUGAUCGGGUGCCCAACUAACUUUCUGACACUACCUUGUGCCCCUCUCCUCUUUCCUUGCUUUGCUGCAACCACCCUGCCUUCUCUGGUUUCUCAGGCAUGCCCUUUCCAUCCUGUUCACUCUCAGAGAUCCCUCACCCUCCAAUCUCAUUCUAACACUCAAUUCUUAUGCCACAACCUCAGAGAGCGCUUUGUUGAACACUCUGUCUAAAGGGCCACCUCUCUCCUCUCCACACACCCUCCUUACUCUUCAUCACGUCAGCCUAAGUCUCUCCUCCAUUAACAAGACAUUAACCCAGACAUUGCCAAAUGCAGUAGAGACAAGUGUCAUGAAGACAGAGAUCAUAUCUGUCUUACAUAUGCUCUUUGUUUUCCAGUGCCUGCCACAGCACCUGGCAGUAGAAAGUGCUCAACAUUUGCCACGUGAAUGGAUGAAUUAAUUAAUAAAUGAUACCAACAAGCAGGAAUGGAAUUGAAAUUGAAGCUAGCAGCAAGUGAGGCAGGACAUACCUCCUGGGGUUUUUGCUUCCUCCCCUCCAUAUGCCCUUUCGUGAUCAAUAUAAUAAUUUUUCUCUGGUGUAGCCUUUAGUCAGAGACAUUAUCCUGAGUGCCCUGGAGUAGAGAAAAGAAUAUAGAGAAGCUUUCCACACCUUUACUUCCGUAAUCCUCACUACAAUCUGCAAGGUAGACUCUGUUAUUUGCUGGAUAAGUAAAUUGAGACUCAAAGGCAAAGUAGCAUGUGCAGCUAGUGUUGGCUCAAAGAAUGGGAGUACCUGGGGAGGGGGAGGUUAGAAAACAGUUUCUUCCUCUAGUCCAAAAGGACAUAUAGUCCAAAAGGAAGUACAACCUCAUGCUUGCGGAAUGGUGGUACUUCUCAGUGGGGAAAUGGAUACUGGCUAGAAUUCCGGGGCAGGCUCAUCUAUUCAGCACAUCUUUAAAGAUCAUCUACUUUGUGCCACAACCUUCAGAGUUGAUUAAGGGGUCAAUUCCAGCCUUCAAAAGCCUUGCAGCCAAGACCCGUUACAGAUCAUUGUUCUGUAGGAUGUCAAGUGAUAUGUUUGGAGUACGUACAAGCAAGGCUAUCACAUAUGGCCAAGUUCUGCAUAACUCAAAUCUGGGCAUUGCCCUUCAGAAUGACUGAUGUGAAUGGUACUGUCCAGUUAUACAGUGUACAACCUGAACAAACAUACGUGGCUGCCAGUGGGAAUGGGAAAAAUCAUCUGGCUCUAGGUGCUCAAUCUGAUGAGUAAGAAGAGAAGACAGAAGAGAUCUCAGCAGAGCAUCAAUAUGUAGGGUUCUAUGGAAGAAGCAAAAGCUAGAGAAAUAGGAGGAGAACCAGGUCAUUAGAGAAGUCAACAGAAGAGGAACCAAGAUGGAGGUGAAGCCAACGGUGCCAGAAGCUGUGCACAGUCAAGCUCCCAAAUGACUGUGGCAACAAGGAAUUAGUUGGUUACCUUGGCAGGAGUGGUGAGACAGAGUCAGCUUUUUGUUUGUUGAGGAAUGAACCUGGGACAGAGUGCAUGUGUUCAGCUUUUUCUGGAAGUUGGGCUGUGAAAGGAGAGAGGGGGCAAGGGUUGUAAGGGUCUUCAGGACUGGGAAGAACUUUAUUUUGUUGUACGUUUUUCAGAUGGGAGCCUUGAGCAUGUCUAAACAUUGUUGAGAAGGAGCAGUAGCAGAAAAAGAAAAAGUUGAAAAUACAUUAGAAAAUGUUUUUACUAGCAAAAUUCAUAUAGGAAGGUGGCAGACGAAGUGGGAUUCAUAGUAGGCAAGGAUUCCAAAUGAUAGCUAGUCAGGAUUCCAGAAGGCUUCAAGGAGGUGGCAGGCUUUAGUCCUGGACAAAAGGGGCCGCUGCCCUAAGCCUACUGCUUUAAAGAGCCUUGCCUGUAACCCUCACCACAGUGUGAUAAGGAACUGUGAAGGAACCAAGGAAAAGGUUUGAACUAUACCUCCUGCCAUAUACAAAAUGCAACCAUUUAAACAGAUAAAAUUUAGGUGAUGACAGAGCAUAGAUUUAAAUGCAUAACCUAAUCCAGAACUCUUUUAGAUUAGUAUACUCUAGGUAACCAGAACACUCAAAUCACCUGCCAGCAUGGCCCGGUGCCUGCCUGCUUUCAGUAUCUAUAUGGGUUUUUCUCUCAGAGCAUCUUUCCAAAAACAGAGCACGCCAAAAGGGAAUCCAGCUCAUUUCAUGAGCCAGACAAACUAAUACAAGAAAACAGCAGAAAAUAUCCCUUAUGAACAUAGAUACAAAAAAACUAAUAGUUUAACGAAUACAAUCCAACAAUCUAUACAAACGAUAAAACAGCAUGACCAAGUGGGGUUUAUCCCAGAAAUGGAAGGUUGGUUAAACAUUUGAAAAUCAAUCUACUUAGUUCACUCUAUUAACAAAUUAAAAAAAGAAACCCUGUAAUCCCAGCACUUUGGGAGGCCGAGGUGGGUGGAUCAUGAGGUCGAGAGAUCGAGACAAUCCUGGUCAACAUGGUGAAACCCCGUCUCUACUAAAAAUACAAAAAUUAGCUGGGCAUGGUGGCUCGUUCCUGUAGUCCCAGCUACUCGGGAGGUUGAGGCAGGAGAAUUGCCUGAACCCAGGAGGCAGAGGUUGCGGUGAGCCAAGAUUGCACCAUUGCACUCCAGCCUGGGUAACAAGAGCGAAACUCCGUCUCAAAAAAAAAAAAAAAAAAAAAAAGAAACCCAUAUUAUCAUAGCAAUAGAUACAGAAAAGGCAUAUUUUGAAAAUUUUAACAUCCAUUCCUGAUUUUUUUUUUAAAACCUCCCAGCAAACUAGGGAUGAUAGGAAACUUCCCUAACCUGAUAAUGGCAUCUACCAAAGGGACACUACUAAUACCACAGUUAAAUAGAAAAGGCUAUUUUCCCCUGUGAUCACAAAUAAAACCAGAAUGCCUGCUCUUACCAUUUUUUAACACCAUAUUGAAGGUUUUAGCCAGUGCAGUAAAUCAAGAAAAAGAAAAAAAGGUUACCCAAUUGAGAAAGGAAGAAGUAAAAUUGUUGGCAGAAUAUAGAAAAUCUGAUGGAAUCUAGAAAAGGCUGCUAGUAAGUUUAGCAAAGUUUGCAAGAUACAAGAUCAACAUACAAAAACCAAUUGUAUUUUUAUUUAUUAGCAACAAACAAUUGGACAUUGAAAUUUUUAAAAUACUAUUUACAAAAGCACAAAAUUCUCUGAAAUACUCAGGAAUAGAUAUGACAAAAUGUGUGCAAGAUCUAUAAACUGAAAACUACAAAACACUUCUGAGAGAAAUUAAAUCCUAAAUAAAUGGAGAAACAUAUUUGUUCACGGUCCAAAAGACUCAAUAUUGUUAAGCUGUCAAUUCUCUCCAGAUCGUUCCAUAGAUUCAGUGCACUCCCGAUCAAGUCCCAGCAGACUUUUUGUAAAAAGUUGACAAGUUGAUUCUAAAAUUUAUAUACAAAGUAAAGGACCUAUGUUAGCCAAACAACUUUGAAAAAGAAGAAUAAAUUUGGAAGGCUAUCACCACCCAAUUUUAAGACUACAGAAAUCAAGGCAGUUCAAUAUUGGCAUAAAGAUGGACAAAUAGAUCAAUGGAACAUAAUCGACUCCAAAAAUUGGCUCAUACUUAUAUAGAUAACUGAUUCUUCACAAAGUUGCAAGGGCAAUUAGAUGGAGAGGUAUACAGUCUUUUCAACAAAUGGGGCUGAAUCAACUGGUUAUCCAUAUGCAAAAAAAUAAAGUUUGAACCAUACUUCCUGCCAUACGCAAAAUAAAACCAUUAAGUAAAAAUAAAAAGUAAUGUUGGAUUGUAGAUUUAAACAUAAAACUUAAAAAGCAUAAAGCUUUGGCUGGUCAUGGUGGCUCACACCUAUAAUCACAACACUUUGAGAAUCCAAGGUGGAAAGAUUGCUUGAGGCUGGGAGUGCCACACUAGCCUGGGAAACAUAAUGAGCCUUAUUUCUAUGAAAAAAAAUAAUUG